UCGUAGCUCAGUUGGUUAGAGCGUGGGUCUAAUAAACCCAAGGUAUUUGGAUAAUCCCGAGUACGUUCGAACCUUGCCGGU
rnacentral:ncRNA from 14 species